UGUUGGUGAGGUAAUGGCUCACCAAGGCGACGACGGGUAGCCGGCCUGAGAGGGCGACCGGCCACACUGGGACUGAGACACGGCCCAGACUCCUACGGGAGGCAGCAGUGGGGAAUAUUGCACAAUGGGCGAAAGCCUGAUGCAGCGACGCCGCGUGAGGGAUGACGGCCUUCGGGUUGUAAACCUCUUUCAGCAGGGAAGAAGCGAAAGUGACGGUACCUGCAGAAGAAGCGCCGGCUAACUACGUGCCAGCAGCCGCGGUAAUACGUAGGGCGCGAGCGUUGUCCGGAAUUAUUGGGCGUAAAGAGCUCGUAGGCGGCUUGUCACGUCGGUUGUGAAAGCCCGGGGCUUAACCCCGGGUCUGCAGUCGAUACGGGCAGGCUAGAGUUCGGUAGGGGAGAUCGGAAUUCCUGGUGUAGCGGUGAAAUGCGCAGAUAUCAGGAGGAACACCGGUGGCGAAGGCGGAUCUCUGGGCCGAUACUGACGCUGAGGAGCGAAAGCGUGGGGAGCGAACAGGAUUAGAUACCCUGGUAGUCCACGCCGUAAACGGUGGGCACUAGGUGUGGGCGACAU
rnacentral:rRNA from 1 species